rnacentral:lncRNA from 1 species
AAGCCCCUCAGACUACACCUGGAGGACAAUUCCCUGGACAACCUCAACAAAAUCCGAGAGGACAAGCCAAUGCCAUUACCCUACGAAGUGGGAACGCUUAUGAUGAGCCACCAAACCCUAGAUUGAGUGAACCCGAAACUUCUAAAGAAUGUACCAAACCCACGGACGAAGUAAAGGAACCAGAGGAAUCUGAAAACCAGGAAGGUCGAGAUAAAG